UACGAAGGGAGCUAGCGUUGUUCGGAAUUACUGGGCGUAAAGCGCACGUAGGCGGAUUUGUAAGUCAGGGGUGAAAUCCCGGGGCUCAACCUCGGAACUGCCUUUGAUACUGCAAAUCUCGAGUCCGGAAGAGGUGAGUGGAAUUCCUAGUGUAGAGGUGAAAUUCGUAGAUAUUAGGAAGAACACCAGUGGCGAAGGCGGCUCACUGGUCCGGUACUGACGCUGAGGUGCGAAAGCGUGGGGAGCAAACAGG
rnacentral:rRNA from 1 species